rnacentral:rRNA from 1 species
GACGAACGCUGGCGGCGUGCUUAACACAUGCAAGUCGAACGGAAAGGCCCUGCUUUUGUGGGGUGCUCGAGUGGCGAACGGGUGAGUAACACGUGAGUAACCUGCCCUUGACUUUGGGAUAACUUCAGGAAACUGGGGCUAAUACCGGAUAGGAGCUCCUGCUGCAUGGUGGGGGUUGGAAAGUUUCGGCGGUUGGGGAUGGACUCGCGGCUUAUCAGCUUGUUGGUGGGGUAGUGGCUUACCAAGGCUUUGACGGGUAGCCGGCCUGAGAGGGUGACCGGCCACAUUGGGACUGAGAUACGGCCCAGACUCCUACGGGAGGCAGCAGUGGGGAAUAUUGCACAAUGGGCGGAAGCCUGAUGCAGCAACGCCGCGUGCGGGAUGACGGCCUUCGGGUUGUAAACUGCUUUCGCCUGUGACGAAGCGUGAGUGACGGUAAUGGGUAAAGAAGCACCGGCUAACUACGUGCCAGCAGCCGCGGUGAUACGUAGGGUGCGAGCGUUGUCCGGAUUUAUUGGGCGUAAAGGGCUCGUAGGUGGUUGAUCGCGUCGGAAGUGUAAUCUUGGGGCUUAACCCUGAGCGUGCUUUCGAUACGGGUUGACUUGAGGAAGGUAGGGGAGAAUGGAAUUCCUGGUGGAGCGGUGGAAUGCGCAGAUAUCAGGAGGAACACCAGUGGCGAAGGCGGUUCUCUGGGCCUUUCCUGACGCUGAGGAGCGAAAGCGUGGGGAGCGAACAGGCUCAGAUACCCUGGUAGUCCACGCUGUAAACGGUGGGUACUAGGUGUGGGGUCCAUUCCACGGGUUCCGUGCCGUAGCUAACGCUUUAAGUACCCCGCCUGGGGAGUACGGCCGCAAGGCUAAAACUCAAAGGAAUUGACGGGGCCCCGCACAAGCGGCGGAGCAUGCGGAUUAAUUCGAUGCAACGCGUAGAACCUUACCUGGGUUUGACAUGGAUCGGGAGUGCUCAGAGAUGGGUGUGCCUCUUUUGGGGUCGGUUCACAGGUGGUGCAUGGCUGUCGUCAGCUCGUGUCGUGAGAUGUUGGGUUAAGUCCCGCAACGAGCGCAACCCUUGUUCACUGUUGCCAGCACGUUAUGGUGGGGACUCAGUGGAGACCGCCGGGGUCAACUCGGAGGAAGGUGGGGAUGACGUCAAGUCAUCAUGCCCCUUAUGUCCAGGGCUUCACGCAUGCUACAAUGGCUGGUACAGAGAGUGGCGAGCCUGUGAGGGUGAGCGAAUCUCGGAAAGCCGGUCUCAGUUCGGAUUGGGGUCUGCAACUCGACCUCAUGAAGUCGGAGUCGCUAGUAAUCGCAGAUCAGCAACGCUGCGGUGAAUACGUUCCCGGG